GUGGGGAAUAUUGGACAAUGGGCGCAAGCCUGAUCCAGCCAUGCCGCGUGUGUGAAGAAGGCCUUCGGGUUGUAAAGCACUUUUGUCCGGGAAGAAAUCUUCCAGGUUAAUACCCUGGGAGGCUGACGGUACCGGAAGAAUAAGCACCGGCUAACUUCGUGCCAGCAGCCGCGGUAAUACGAAGUGUGCAAGCGUUACUCGGAAUUACUGGGCGUAAAGCGUGCGUAGGUGGUUCGUUAAGUCUGCCGUGAAAGCCCCGGGCUCAACCUGGGAAUGGCGGUGGAUACUGGCGGGCUAGAGUGCGGUAGAGGGUGGUGGAAUUCCCGGUGUAGCAGUGAAAUGCGUAGAGAUCGGGAGGAACAUCUGUGGCGAAGGCGGCCACCUGGACCAGCACUGACACUGAGGCACGAAAGCGUGGGGAGCAAACAGGAUUAGAUACCCCUGUAGUCC
rnacentral:rRNA from 1 species